AAGUCGUAACAAGGUUUCCGUAGGUGAACCUGCGGAAGGAUCAUUACAAAAUACAUGUGUAAUCCACAUCCUACCGUCUUUUCGUGAACAUUCUUGUGCCGUUUGCGUCGAUGGGUUGCGCUGGCCUGGCGUCAUCUUCUUAGGGAACCCGAUGAGUGUCGGGAGGUUCCCGAGUCCGGCCGGCGCGCUCCUUUACUGGAGGCCUCUCGCAAUGCAAACGCGUGUUACCCCUCCCCACUCUCUAUACUAUUAUCACCUUGUACCCUUCUUUCUAGAACUGACCUCUCCAGGAAGGCCUCCUUCAUCAGAAGAAGGCCCUCUUGCAAGACUAUACGUAAAAGAGAAGAACAACUCUUAACAACGGAUAUCUUGGCUCUC
rnacentral:misc_RNA from 1 species